GUUAAUCUUGUUAGACAUUUUUAUGAGAAUUUGGUUCCAAGCUGUACUAUAUAUGAUAUCGAUUGCCCAGACCAUUCCUUUCGCAAGUUUACAGACGACGGCCAAUACCUCGUGAGUUUUAGCAGGAAUCACCAGGAUCUGAUCGUUUACAGACCCACAUGGUUGUCAUUUUCGUGCAAAGGAGAAGAUUGUGAUGCACAUAGUCUGCCCCAGAAAGCAAAGAGGUUUGACAGCUUUUUCACCCAGCUCUACUGUGUGUCUCUUGCAUCCAGCAAUGAGUUUAUUUGCAAGGACCUCUUUCUGUAUAUGGAGACUCACCAGUUUGGCUUGUUUGCAACCUCAACUGCACAAAGCCAUGAGGCACCCACCACAGAGGGUGCAAUAGAAGGACUCCCUUCAAUAGAAAAGAUAACAUUUUACCUUGUGAGACUGGAAGAUGGAGUCAUAUUAGAUGAGAAAGCCUUUUGCAAUGAUUUUGUCAACUUGGCCCAGAGCAUGGGUGUUUUCUUGUAUGAGGAUCUGUUGUGUAUCAUGUCCCUUCGAUAUCAAACAAUACAUAUACUACAAAUUCGGGAUUCUGGAAACCUGGUUUAUGUACGAAAUAUAGGUAUAUUCUGCCGAGAAGAUGAUGAGUUAUUUAUUAACUCCCAUGCUCAGAGCAUGGGAAUCUUGGACAAAUCUAAGCCAGACGAUUCAUCUGACCGCCAGGUAGCUAAUGGCGUUCUACAGCUCCAAGUUACACAGGGGACUUCUUUUCUUAGUGGUAUCAAGCAGCGCUUGCUUUCAUUUAUUUUUUGCAAAAUAUGGAAUGAAGAAGCAGAUCCAACUUUGAGGGUUCAACAUUUAAAGAAGAAGUUCUAUUUCCACUUUCAAGAUUAUGUUGAUCUCAUCAUGUGGAAGGUGCAGUUCUUGGAUCGUCAUCAUCUUUUAAUUAAGUUUGGCAGUGUGGAUGGAGGGGUUGCCCGAAGUACCGAUCAACAUCCAGCAUUCUUUGCUGUGUAUAACAUGGAAACAACAGAUAUUGUUGCAUUUUAUCAGAAUUCUUCAGAGGAGCUUUACUCAUUGUUUGAGCAAUUCUAUGACCAUUUUCAUGCAAAUUCGAGAAAUUCUUUGCAUACAAGUUUUAUAUCUUCUCACUCCAAUAACAUACAUGCUCUCGAUCAGCUUUGGUGCAUUAAAAAUAAAGCAAACAGCAUCUCACAGUUUGUGAAGAAGAUGAUGACUUCAUUACCAUGCACCUGCCAGUCCCAAAGCCCUUCACCAUAUUUUGAUCUAUCACUCUUUCGGUAUGAUGAAAAGGUCUGAUCUAUUCAGUCAGAGCUUAUCAUAUAUGUGAAAAUUGGUUUACUUAAUUUUACCGGUCACCUUCUUCAUCAUCAUAAUUUUGAUUGUGAUCAAAAGUGGCAGUUCUCCUAUGUUUGAAGCUGAUUUCAGCAACAGUUCGCCACAGACACUCCACUGAACAUCCAAUAAAGUUCAUUUCAAGGAGGCAACCGAAUAUGCUUAAGUUCAAGAUAAAACCAGGACCUGAGGCUGGUGGUUCUGAUGGCAGGCCAAAGAGAAUUUCAUCGUUCCUGUUCCAUCCUUACUUACCAUUUGCUCUUUCCAUCCAGCAGACAUAUAUGCAACCGACUGUUGUGAAUAUACAUUUCCGGAGAUGAAGUACAUGUGUCUUGUAUUUAUUUUUGUAACGGUACAGGGUAGUACCAAGCAGCACUGCUUAUUUGAAGUGUUGCCACACUGUACAAAAUCUAAUGCUAACGAGCGUUCAACAGAAUCAGAUAACGAAUUAUUUGAAGUGUGGACACAGAUGGAGCAUUUUUCUCAUUGUCAGAUCAUCAGUUACUUCCCAAAUUAAUUCUCACUAAUGGGGAAAUUAUUGGGGACAAGUUGGAUCUGUAACUAACUCUGUCAAGUAUUAAUAUUUGGUAUACCACCAACUGUAUCUUGCGUUGCAGAACCUCCUUUAAAGUUGUGAAGGAUGUAAACUGUUGCUGCUUUGGUUGGUAUGCUGUCCGAUGUCGAAGGUACUUGGAACAAUAUUAAAUUUCAACGGUUGGAGAAUGCUGUGGGGAUUUAUUUGAGGUUGCCUCCAGUUUCAAUGAAUAUAGUAAUUGGGAUUGCAGCUAAAUUUGUUUACAGUUCCAAUUACAAGAUUUGGGCCAUUUUUGUGCUUCAAAUGUUACCUGUAGUUGUAAUUGUAGUCAUCUAAAAAGCUAUUUUGGAUGUCUGAAUUAGUCGCUGCAAUUGCAACUGUAACCAGGCAAACAAAAGUCUCCUUAAUGGAACAUAAGAGUGGAUUGCAUUUUUUCAC